AUGUGCAGACCAUCCACCGUCCUGGCAAGCUACUCUGCACACAGCAAUACUAUUACCUUCGUGUGUAAUGGCAGCAAGGAUGCAGCCAUCAGAGGAGUGCUUCCUGAUACUGUAUUUGAAGCAGUUCUUCGAAUUUCUUAUGAUAUGCAAUUGAAACAAGUUCUUGCUAAUGGAAAAAAGGGAGGGUUGAAUGUAGGUGAUGUUCUUAUUUUGCCCGAGGGAUUCGAUUUAGCGCCGCCCGAUCGUAUUUUUCUUGAUGUUGUGUGGGCCUUUGACCGUGGGUAUAGAAGCGAUCAUCUUUUGCUUGGCGGUGAGCGCCACCUCGGCACCAGAGAAGAAAUUCACAAUCACGAGCUGGUGGUCAUCCAUGGCGGCGAUCCAGCCGCCAUGGUGGGAGCCGAUGAACCGCUUCUUGACAGCCUUGCCAGGGACGUGCAGGACCCAACUGCCGCAGGGGCCGCACAUGUGCUGCUUCUUGCUACGUCCAUACGGCGAGAGUAUGAGAGCUGGGACGGCGGGCUGCACCGGGAGCCGUGA
rnacentral:rRNA from 1 species